rnacentral:rRNA from 1 species
UAAACGAAAUAGGACAUGAAACACAAUUCCAUAACGAACUUGAACGUGAACUCGUUUAGAGAUGACGAUAGUGAGGGGGUGGCCCCUUGUGAAAAUAAUCUCAUGCUGGGUGU